UACGAAGGGGGCUAGCGUUGCUCGGAAUGACUGGGCGUAAAGGGCGCGUAGGCGGAUGGCACAGUCAGAUGUGAAAUUCCCGGGCUUAACCUGGGGGCUGCAUUUGAUACGUGUUGUCUUGAGUUCGGAAGAGGGUCGUGGAAUUCCCAGUGUAGAGGUGAAAUUCGUAGAUAUUCGCAAGAACACCAGUGGCGAAGGCGGCUCACUGGCCCGAUACUGACGCUGAGGCACGAAAGCGUGGGGAGCGAACGGG
rnacentral:rRNA from 1 species